CCUACGGGAGGCAGCAGUGGGGAAUAUUGCACAAUGGGCGAAAGCCUGAUGCAGCAACGCCGCGUGAGCGAUGAAGGCCUUCGGGUCGUAAAGCUCUGUCCUCAAGGAAGAUAAUGACGGUACUUGAGGAGGAAGCCCCGGCUAACUACGUGCCAGCAGCCGCGGUAAUACGUAGGGGGCUAGCGUUAUCCGGAAUUACUGGGCGUAAAGGGGGCGUAGGUGGAUUCUUAAGUCAGAGGUGAAAGGCUACGGCUCAACCGUAGUAAGCCUUUGAAACUGGGGAACUUGAGUGCAGGAGAGGAGAGUGGAAUUCCUAGUGUAGCGGUAAAAUGCGUAGAUAUUAGGAGGAACACCAGUUGCGAAGGCGACUCUCUAGACUGUAACUGACACUGAGGCACGAAAGCGUGGGGAGCAAACAGGAUUAGAUACCCCAGUAGUC
rnacentral:rRNA from 1 species